AUCGCUUCUCGUCCUUUUGACUAAGGUCAAGUGUAGUAUCUGUUCUUAUCAAUUUAAUAUCUGAUAUAUCCUCUUUCCGAGGACAAUAUAUUAAAUGGAUUUUUGGAGCAACAAGAUGGAAUAGGAGCUUGCUCUGUCAACUCCACACAUCGACCUGGUAUUGCAGUACUUUCAGGAAUGGUGCACCCCGU
rfam:Canis lupus familiaris chromosome 19, whole genome shotgun sequence.